UGCCAUUUUCGCCUACAUGGCAAGACAUGUAUGCUAGCCAGCGUGGACGGAGCACGAGAAAAGACGGCGAUGCCCGCACCUUAUCCUUUCUCCCACUCGCUCGUCUUCCUCCUCCGCGCGAGUUGGGUUCUACUCCCCGUUGAGAUCCGCUGGGCUGCUAAUGGUGCCCCUAGUCUCAGCACGUCGAGAUCCUCCGACGCGCGGCGGAGCGCGGCCUCCAGGUGCGCUCAGCCCGUCCACCCCGGCCGUCCAUCAGUCCAUGCAGAGCACGCAGACCUUCCCCUGCUGCGCCGCCUUCCUCUCGGAAGUCGCACGAUCGCCGACGCUGACGCCUUGCGAUCUUGAUGCCGUGGAAGUAGUACGCGCACCGGCUCCGGACCAUGGACUCGCAGGUCAGCUUCGUGCGCUGUUACGUGUCCGUGGAGGAGAACGUGAAGCGCGCCGGCGCUGUGGCGCCACGGCAACAAAGCCGGAGUGCGGGGCCGCCAGACGGGCAUUCUGUCCUUCAACACGCGCAGCGCUCUCCGCAUCAACACGUUGGGCGCCGCGCUCAGAAGAAGCACGCAGCGCUCGCCAUGGCGCCCCGCCGCGCCGGGAGCAUCGUCUCCGUCGCCAGUGUCGCAGGCGUGCUCAACGGCCUCAGCCCCCACGCCUACGCCUCCAAUAACGCCGUCGUGGGCCUCACCAAGAAUGCCGCCUCGCUGAGACAAGGGACAUGGCCGAGGCUCUGCUCUUCCUAGCCAGCGACGAGCCCAGAUACAUCUCCGGCCACAACGUCGUCGUGGACGGCUGUGCUCAUUUGUUUGAUUGAUUCAUCAACAAGUGUGUGCCUGGCUUGAGUAUCGCAUUUGCAUUUGGGAGCACUCGUCCUGAAUGAUCUGUCUCUUGAAUUUAAAUAUCCCCCGCGUCCGCCUCGAAGCCAUCGACCUCCGCGCCUGCCCGCCGGGACCACUGACCACAGGAAGCGGGUCCGGCGGCCUCCUCGAUCGCGACCGAACCUGGGCCCGACGAAGGCGGCUUCCAGGUCCACGGCGUCCUCCUCGUUUCCUACAAAGCUGGCCUCCACCUCUGCAACCCUGCCCGGCGGCGUGGACCAAGGUGCCGGGGCUCAGCUUCGACGACAUCGUCGUCUUCUGCGACGCGCACCGGGCACCGCCCAUUCGGCGAGGAGCUCAAUACUACCGCUCAGUAGUAGUAUACAGUGUAUAGAAGAUCUAACCAUUUAUUUGGAUGGAUCAGUUUUUUCGGCCCGCCGCCUACACGUUCACCCCUGUCGAACUUUUAUCGCCGGCGCCUCCCCGUGCCGCCGUCAGAGUCACGGGCGGCGCUGCCGACCGAGGCGCCCAACGGGCGUCGCUCACGUGCUGCCGGCGCCCCAACAGAGGGCAGCACCUCGGCCCCGUCGCGCCCUGCCCGGUUGCUUGCCGUCCUGCCGACUCCCCCUGCCCGGUUGCUUCCCGUCAGAUCUCUGGCAGGACGACUUGCUGUAGGAGGUUGGUGGUCAUGGCACAAUAAUAUUCUGCAGCACUGAAGCAGCCAAGGAGAGAGUACAGAGACACUGAGAUAUGGAAGACGAGGCGGAGUGUAAGUGCUGAAUGUCACGGUGUUGUACUUCCAUCCUUGGGAGGCGAUGCAAGAAGUUGACUCUAGUGAUCGUCGAGAAGUUACCAGUAUGCUCCAAGUUCCUUGGUUUAAAUGGGAGAGUCAGUUGUAGCUUCUGUCAGUCAGCUGUUGGUUCAACUUGUAAGAGUCAACCUCAUGUGAAACUCGUGUAAUUUUCUUAGUUGUUUCUAUGUUGUUAUUGUAAUGUCAGUGUCAGUGAAUUACUAAGUGAUGCCUAAUCAACUCGUGAAGUCGUGGUAGCCUAUUUGGUUAAGCCAAGAGGGCAAGCGUUACUGUAUUGUAAUGUCUUCUGUUAGCCAAGAACUCAUGAUCUUAAUUCUGGUUAAGGGAAGAACACUGAUGCAACUUUUUUUAGAGAUAAGUUGAUCUAGCUGUUGAACCAUUGAUGCGUCA